GGAAACUGAAUCAAAAUGAAAGCCAAUGUAGAGGGAUUCAAUGCGCAAAUUUCCCCUUAAUUUCAAAAGGCUCAGAUCCUCCCCGAAUCAAGUCGGAUCAUCGGGUCAAGGCACCAAACGGUGCCGUUUUUUUUUGAAACAUUUUAAAGCGUAAAAAACAUAAAUCUAAAGAUUUUCGUUCAAAACGCAGAAGAAAGUGGGAGCGCCGCUUUUGGUUUUUCAUCUACUAUCGCAACUCAACCCCUUAGAUCCCUAUCUGCUCCGAUUGUAACGAGAGAAACAGGGAUCCGACCGUCGCACUCUGAAGAACUGCCGUACGGAGGUGGUGGCGUGGCGCGCGAAGAGAGGAAGACCGAAGGCGCUGGAGGCUGUGCGGCGCGAUAGGCUAGCUAGGGUUUCUGUUUGUGAUUAUUUUUGUUUUGGGCUUCAAUGUAAUUGGGCCGAGGUAUUUGGGUCAUUGUUUGUAUAACUGGACGUUUGGACUUUAGUUAUAUAUAUAUUUUAUUUGGGUUUUAAUAUCUAUAUCGAGCUGGGCAAAUUUGGGUCAUUACAGUGGGAAUUAAUUUUUCAUCCUUCAAUUUGUAAAGGAUUAUUUCUUGGAUAGUUGAUUAGAGACUUUGAUUGA